AUGACCCCAGGUCAGGUAGGAUUACCCGCUGAGUUUAAGCAUAUCUAUAAUCGGAGGAAAAAAAACUUACAAGGAUUUUCUUUGUAACGGUGAGCGAACUGGGAAUAGCCCAGCCUUAGAAUUGGGUAGCUCUGUCGUCUGAAUUAUAGUUUGGAGAAGCGUCCUCAGCGGUGGACCAGGCCCAAGUUCCCUGAAAGGGGGUACCAGAGAGGGUGAGAGCCCCGCUAUGCCCGGACCCUGUCGCACCCAGAGGCACUGUCUACGAGUCGGGUUGUUUGGGAAUGCAACCCAAAUCGGGCGGUGAAUUUCAUCCAAGGCUAAAUACGGGUGACAGAACGAUAGCAAAAAAGUACCGCGAGGGAAAGAUAAAGAGGACUUUGAAAAGAGAGUAAAAGAGUGCUUGAAAUUAUCGGGAGGGAAUCGGAUGGGGGAUGGCGAUGCGCCCCGAUCGACUAUGGAAUGGCGACGAGCUGUCCGCCGAUCGACUCGGGGCAUAGACCAGCGUGGAUUGGGGGGCGGCCAAAGCUCGGGCUCUCAAUACACUCAUGGAACACCGUCUCAGCGAUUGUGGAAGGUAGCGUGCGCCUCCAGCGUGCUUCGGCAUCUACGCGCUACGGGCGCUGGCCUAUGGACUCCCCAUUAGACCCGUCUUGAUAAACGGACAAAGGAGUCUGACAUGUGUGCGAGUCAACGGUCGAGUAAACCCAUAAGGCGUAAGGAAGUUGAUUGGUGGUAUCCCCCCGAGGGGUGCACCGCCGAUCGACCUUGAUCUUCUGAGAAGGGUUCGAGUGUGAGCAUACCUGUUGGGACCCAAAAGAUGGUGAACUAUUCCUGAGCGGGGUGAAGCCAAAGGAAACUCUGGUGGAGGCCCGCAACGAUACUGAUGUGCAAAUUGUUCGUCUGACUUAGGUGUAGGGCCCGCGGCUGCUUUGUUGAGCUGUGCUAAGGAAUCAAGAACUCCAAGUGGUCCAUUUUUGGUAAGCAUAACUGGUGAUGCGGGACGAAUCGAAAGCCGGGUUACGGUCCCAAAUUGUACGCUAACCUAGAUCCCACAAAGGGUGUUGGUCGAUUAAGAUAGCAGGACGGUGGUCAUGGAAGUCAAAAUCCGCUAAGGAGUGUGUAAAAACUCACCUGCCUAAUAAACUAGCCCCAAAAAUAGAUGGCACUUAAGCGCGUGACCUACACCUGGCCGUCGGGGAAAGUUCCCGGCCCCGAUGACUAGGAGGGCGCGACGGUCGCUGCAAAACCUUGGGCGCGAGCCACGCAGAGCGGCCAUCGGUGUAGAUAUUAGUGGUAGUAGCAAAUAUUUAAAUGAGAACUUUGAAGGAAGAAGAGGGGAAAGGUUCUAUGUGAACGACACUUGCACAUGGAUUAGUCGAUCCUAAGGAUCAGGGAAACCCCGAUAGAUAGCACAUUUUACGCGUACUUCGAAAGAGAAUUGGGUUAAAAUUCCAGGACCAGGACGUGGCAUUCGAUGGAAAUGUUAGGAAGUUCGAAGACGUCGGCGAGAGCCUCAGGAAGAGUUAUCUUUUCUGUUUAACAUCCUGCCCACCCUAGAAUCGGCUCAGCAGGAGGUAGGGUCCAGCGGUUGGAAGAGCACCGCACAUCGCGUGGUGUCCAGUGCACUACUAGUGGCCCUUGAAAAUCCAGAGGACCGAAUGUCGUCCAUGCCUGGACGUACUCAUAACCACAUCAGGUCUCCAAGGGGAACAACCUCUGGUCAAUGGAACAAUGUAGGGAAGGGAAGUCGGCAAAAUGGAUCUGUGACUUCUGGAAAAGGAUUGGCACUGAGGUAUGGGAAAGGGGGUUGCAGUCCCGAACCCAUCGGCUGUCAGUGGACUACUCGAGCUGUUCCCGCAGCGAGAGCGGGUCACCGCAUGCCGGUCGGGGGACGAACUAGGAACGGGUCCUUCAGGGGCCUUCGCCGCGCGUCGAACAGCCAACUCAAAAUUGGUACGGACAAGGGGAAUCUGACUGUUUAAUUAAAAUAAAGUAUUGCAAUGGUCCUAAUGGAUGUUCACACAUUGUGAUUUCUGCCCAGUGCUUUGAAUGUCAAAGUGAAGAAACUCAACCAAGCGUGGGUAAAUGACGAGAGUAACUAUGUCUCUCUUAACGUAGCCAAAUGCCUGGUCAUCUAAUUAGUGAUGCACAUGAAUGGAUUAAAGAGAUUCCCACUAUCCCUGUCUACUAUCCAGCGAAACCACAAGGGAACGGGCUUGGCAGAAUCAGCAAGGAAAGAAGACCCUCUUGAGCUUAACUCUACUCCGACUUUGUGAAAUGACUUGAGAGGUGUAGUAUAAGUGAGAUCCGAAAGGCGAAAGUGAAAUACCACUACUUUUAACGUUAUUUUACUUAUUACGUGAAUGGAAAGCGGGGCAAUACCCCUCUUUUUGGACCCAAGGCUCGCACUGCGGGCAGAUCUGGGCAGACGACAUUGUCAGGUGGGGACUUUAGCUGGGGUGGCACAUCUGUUAAAAGAUAACGCAGGUGUCCUAAGAUGAGCUCAACGAGAACAGAAAUAUCAUGUGGAACAGAAGGGUAAAAGCUUGUUUGAUUCUGAUUUCCAUUACGAAUACGAACCAUGAAAGCAUGACCUAACAAUCCUUUAGACCUUCAAAAUUUGAAGCUAAAGGUGUCAGAAAAGUGUUACCACAGGGAUAAUUGGCCUGUUGCAGCCAAAUGUUCAUAGCGACAUUGCUUUUUCAUCCAUCGAUGUCAGCUCUUCCUAUCAUUGUGAAGCAGAAUUCACAAAGUGUUGGACUGUUCACCCACCAAUAAGGAACGUGAGUUAGGUUUAGACCGUCGUGAGACAGGUUAGGUUUACCCUACUUAUGACAGUGUCGCAGUAGUAAUUCAACCUAGUAAGAGAGGAAACGUUGAUUCUCACAAUAUGUCAUUGCGCUUGGUUGAAAAGCCAGUGCCGCAAAGCUACCGUGUGUUGGAUUAUGACUGAACGUCUCUAAGUCAGAAUUCGAAUUAGAAGCGACGCAUGCGCCCGCUGUUCGCUUACCAAACCUCAGUAGGGGCCUCGGCAUCGCAACUAGAGGUUUUUCAUGAUGCGGAGUACGGGUUAAGUGGUCAGCGAUUAGAGGUUUUUGUGACUUUC
rnacentral:rRNA from 1 species